rnacentral:rRNA from 1 species
CUCAACCUCGGAAUUGCAGUCGAUACUGCUGUGACUCGAGUCCGGUAGAGGAGAAUGGAAUUCUCGGUGUAGCGGUGAAAUGCGCAGAUAUCGGGAGGAACACCAGUAGCGAAGGCGGUUCUCUGGGCCGGCACUGACGUUGAGGAGCGAAAGCGUGGGGAGCAAACAGGAUUAGAUACCCUGGUAGUCCACGCCGUAAACGUUGGAUACUAGGUGUGGCGGUCUUACCAACGACUGCUGUGCCGAAGCUAACGCAUUAAGUAUCCCGCCUGGGGAGUACGGCCGCAAGGCUAAAACUCAAAGGAAUUGACGGGUCCCCGCACAAGCGGCGGAGCAUGCGGCUUAAUUCGAUGCAACCCGAAGAACCUUACCUGGGUUUGACAUCACGGGAAAAGCUGUAGAAAUACAGUGUCCAUUAGGGCCC